AAAACGGUGGCUCAAUGACAAACUGGCGCCACCGCAUGGUCCCGCCCCGACGAGUGGUCGUGGUUUCAGCGCGGCAGCGGACACGUGCCCAAUGUUUGAGAGCAGAGAAUCCUGCAUGUUUUUUUCCAAUAUUUUGAUAACUUAUUAUUUUAUUUACGUGGCGCUUUUUAAUCUUUCAAAUUUUCCUGUGUGGUGACAAAAUGAGAACACAUUAAAUAUCGGACUUUACACGGACAGACAAUGACAGUAUAGUAACUUCCUGUCCAAGCCGAGGGUCAUGAUGAUGACAGAUCCUCAGAUCUCAGUUUGUGCAUUGCUGCUACAGCUAAAAAUGGUGGAGACCUUGAACGUUUGCUGUUACCUGCCUGACAAUGAGGUUCAUGGUCAAGGGAGAGCAAAGACAGCAGGGCAUAAAACCAGACAGAGGAGGAGAGGACGUUUGCCAAAUCAGAACUGCUGAACAGCCCUAAGAGGUUUGAAAGUGGAGGUCCUAUCUCUGCUCCGAUAAAACUCGGGGAGUGAGAAACAGACGUGUUGGGAAGCAUCCUGUGGAAAUGUAACAGGUUGGAGCUCUUAGCGGCCCAUCUAUGGCAAGAGGAGUGCAAAACUAUUCACAGACAGCAUGCCGUGAUGUUAUCAGCUAAUCGUUUUUGGAACAGACCGAGGAGUCUUAUGGGUUGGAUUAUUGGUGGUGGUGUUGAAUUGGGGGGGAUUUGCCUGAGGAGACAAGGUCAACAUGAAGCUGUGCUCUCUCCAAACAAAGUGUCUUCACCUGUUGAUUCCUCCUCACAUGAAUGCUGGUCCGAGGAUGAUGAGUCCAACACGAGCACACAGGAAGAGAUGCGCCGCUGUGCGCUUUCGGCUCCGGUCAUACGCACCGACAGAGAUGAACCGGAGCAGUCCCGCGCUCCUCUGUUCCCGUUUACCCGUUCAUCUGCGUCCUCAACAAGAAAGCUCUGUUUGCUAUUCAUUUGAAUCUCCACGCCACUCUUACAAUGCCAAGUGUUAAAAUACAAAUCACCCACUCGUUUCGUGGUCCUCAAGUUCAUCUUCAAGUUUGGUCUCGACGUGUCCCAGUGCCGGAUGGACGAACAUAGGAGGUGAAAGGCUGCUCUCCACUAAGCUCUCCGGCAUGGAGAAUGAGUUCAGAUAAGACAUCUUGUCUUCGCUGUCCGAGAAGCCGGGACUGUCUCCACCUCCGAGGAAACUGGAUGAUGGUGCCUGAAAUCUCUCGUGCGGUUCCGGAUGCAGUUGUGCGUGGUAUUGCGCUGGAUGCAAGGAUUGAAGGUGAGACUGCUGCUCCAGUUUCAGUAUAUCCUUCACAGAAAACGGCGUUGAUGUUACCGGGCUCGGAAGCAUCAUCAGGCGCUGUUGAAUUACAUCUAUAAUAUUAUUCCGGAUUCAACUGGCACCCUCAAACACUAAGCCCUGUUGAAAAAUUGUUUAGAUAAUCAACAAUUUUAUGUAAACAUACCUAAAUGUGUCGAUUAAUCUCCCAUUUUGUCAUGGCUGCUUGAUUUGCAUGAAGAGAGGUGAGAACCGCCACUCGUCGGUGUGAAACUCUUGUGUGUUUUUCUUGGAGUCGGGCAGCACAAGGCAAUUCUUCUGCACCGUGAUGUCACAUUACCGGGGCGGGAUGUACGAUCCUUCCCACAAUCCACUGUGGAAACGCAUGCAAUUUCAUACUAGGUCCUUUAAUACUAUAGAAUACGUUUGAAUAGCAUUAAUCCAAAACCAAUAAAAUUCGUUACAUUGAUCUGAUAUAAUUCAUCCUAAAAGUCAAGCAAAACAAGCUUAGAAUAAACCAGAAGGAUCUUAAAGUGAUAAUCGUUUUAAAUGACUCAUGUUGCGUGUGUUGAAUAAUUCACUGACCAGAAUUAUAAUUGUUUUUAUAAAAUUAUACCUAAAAAUUAUAGGUUUAUGUAGCAAAAAUAAAGGUACCUUUAUGGUUCCAUAAAGAAUAGUAAACAUUUACAGGACAUUUCUGUUGCGCAAAAGGUUAUUUGUAGAGAAAAAAGGCUCCACAGACUAUAAAACGGUAAGAUAAGUUGUUAUUUAAAGAACAUUUGAAUAAUAGAUGAUUUCAAAAUGGUUCACAUUCGGCUUUGUGAAGAAUCCUUUUCAGCACUUUUAUUUUUAAGAGUGUAAGAGGCAUAUUUCCGAUGUGUCUGUGAGAUUUCAUAAAAGUGAACGCUUAACCUUCUCGUGUUAUUUUCCCAUUAAGAGUUGACCUGAACCACAAACUUACUAUAUCUGCUUUCAGACAGUCAAGCUAGAGUUAUUACUUUAAGCAGACACUUGUGAAUUAUGGCGAGAAAUUGAACAUAACUUUGUAACAGGAUUUGUUUAGUGUUUUACGCGCGCGUGUGUGUGUGUGUGUGUGCAAGAGACAAAUUAUGUUUAUGUUAUAUAUGUAGGAGCGUGUAUGUGGCAUAAAGGGCUUAUAUAUUUUUACUUUGUUUUAAAGAAAAUAAAAUGUACUCCGAAACACUUCUUUAGCUAAUCUGAAUUGCUUUAUGCUUCUGCGAAAAACGAGAGGUUUCUAAAAACAUCGAUUUUAAUUGAAUCGAGAUAAUUCUUGAUUUCCCGAGAUUUAUUUCGCUGACACUGUUGUUAAAUUUCAAUUUUAUUGCAUAAAGCUUUUAACAGCCCUAUAAACAGCUACUGUAAUAAUUAGUCUAAGCAUUACGCAUAGAUGGAGAUGACGUUGACCUUUAAAAAGUCACUGUAAAAACUGCAUGACGGAAAUGAUCACAUUGUGUAUUUAAUUAAAAUUUAUGAAUAAUGUUAUUUUCCAUCCCAUUGCGGAUGUGUUUUUUUUUUAAAUAGCGUUGCACUCUUUUGCAGUUAUCCAAAACAAAUUUGAUGGCCUAUCUGAAACCACAGCAGUACAGUGUGUUCAACGUAUAACUUAUAAAACAACAGAGAAAAAUAAGUUUGAUAUGAAUUUACUCGUCCUGUAUUUCGUCUCAGGUAUCGAUCACUUUGCAAGGUGGACGCGCGGGAAACCUUUUUGAGAGCGCAAUGAUGCGCAACGGUGUCUCUCUGAGCUCCUGCUCCGGCGCCAGAGACAAAAGCCUGUCAGAGACUAAGAAGGCGGCAAAAGAAAAGGAAAGAGAGACGAGAUUAUCUCAUCCGUUAGCUAUCAACAGUGCUGUUUAGAUCAGCUUUGUGUCCUCCCGUCCCAAGACUAAUGGCUCAGAAGGAAAGUCGAAGUGGAGGGGCUCUAGGUUUUCUCUGGAGCAGAAUAGCAAGGCCAACAAACCUUAUGCUGGAAGCUUCAAAUCCUAUAAUUACAAAGCUGACAGUUAACACACAGGUAAGCUACCUUACUGACUGGCAAGGAAUGCAAACAUCAUCUACGUGGGGCCGAGAAAUGGGGUAGAUGGAGGUCAUGAUGCAGGUGCAGAAGGUACCCCUCCACAUUUCCUGGGGGUUGUGGGUGCAUACAGAUCUGUGACAGGUUGAGCUACAACAAAAAGUGAGGGGGGCAUGUUUGUUUAAUAAUCGAUACUGUCAUAUUUGACACGAUGAACAGCAUACAUGACGUAAUGUUUUAUUGGAAUGCUGCGUGGCACAGAAUUCCAUCACAGAUAUAGCAAUUCAACUUUUUUGACUAUAUGAACUUCAUAUAUCAUUUGCUCACUUCUCAACACACUAAACAAGCACAAUACUUGAAAUACAGGUCUGCCUUGUGUGCACUGUAUGUGAUUUGAGGUCGAUAAGUUAUCUGAUGAUGUUGUCACUCAGCACUCACACAGUAAGACAGCAGUUUCAUAUCUUUUCUUCAGGUUCAUUUCAUUUUACAAAUAGCAGGUCAGCAACAGUAAAAGUAUGAUCGCUGACAAUAAAAAAUGAUAGAAAAUCCUUUUUAGGCACACAGAUGGUAAAAAUAAAAUGAA